ACUGCGCAUGGUGGCAUGUGCGUGUAGUCACAGCUAUUCAGGAGGCUGACAUGGGAGGAUCACUUGAGCCCAGAAGUUCUGGACUGUAGUGUGAUAUGCCAAUGGGUUUCUGCAUUAAGUUCAGCAUCAAUAUGGUGACCUGCUGGGAGCGGGAGACCAACAGGUUUCCUAAGGAACGGUGAACCGGCCCAGGUUGGAAAUGGAGCAGGUCAGAACUCCCGUGCUGAUCAAAAUAUAAAUAACGAAUGAAAAUUAACUUCAGAAAGUUAAAGGAAGAAAGGAAUUGAAGGAGUCUG
rfam:Gorilla gorilla gorilla genomic chromosome, chr11, whole genome shotgun sequence